rnacentral:tRNA from 1 species
GCCACCUUAGCUCAGUUGGUAGAGCAGCUCCCUCGUAAAGAGCAGGUCAGGAGUUCAAUUCUCCUAGGUGGCU